rnacentral:rRNA from 1 species
UACGUAGGGUGCAAGCGUUGUCCGGAAUUAUUGGGCGUAAAGAGCUCGUAGGCGGUUCGUCGCGUCGGCUGUGAAAACCUGAGGCUCAACCUCAGGCCUGCAGUCGAUACGGGCGGACUUGAGUACUGCAGGGGAGACUGGAAUUCCUGGUGUAGCGGUGGAAUGCGCAGAUAUCAGGAGGAACACCGAUGGCGAAGGCAGGUCUCUGGGCAUUAACUGACGCUGAGGAGCGAAAGCAUGGGGAGCGAACAGG